CGGGGUGCAGCAGGCGCGAAAACUUUACAACGCCGGCAACGGCGAUAAGGGGACCUCGAGUGCCAGGUUACAAAUCUGGCUGUCGAGAUGCCUAAAAAGCAUUUCAUAGCAAGGGCCGGGCAAGACCGGUGCCAGCCGCCGCGGUAACACCGGCGGCUCGAGUGGUAACCGUUAUUAUUGGGUCUAAAGGGUCUGUAGCCGGCCGGAUAAGUCUCUUGGGAAAUCCAGCAGCUCAACUGUUGGGCUUUCAGGAGAUACUGUCUGGCUCGAGGCCGGGAGAGGUGAGAGGUACUUCAGGGGUAGGGGUGAAAUCUUGUAAUCCUUGAAGGACCACCAGUGGCGAAGGCGUCUCACCAGAACGGACCUGACGGCAAGGGACGAAAGCUAGGGGCACGAACCGGAUUAGAUACCCGGGUAGUCCUAGCCGUAAACGAUACUCGCUAGGUGUCGGCCACGGUGCGACCGUUGUCGGUGCCGUAGGGAAGCCGUGAAGCGAGCCACCUGGGAAGUACGGCCGCAAGGCUGAAACUUAAAGGAAUUGGCGGGGGAGCACAAGGCGAAUUGG
rnacentral:rRNA from 1 species